GGAGGUUCUCAGGUGAUGCACCCCAGAAUCAAGCUCCCUCCUCUCUGGUUCUGGGGUGUGUCACUAGAGAACUGCA
rfam:Myotis lucifugus cont2.21350, whole genome shotgun sequence.